AUAUCAAUAAGCGGAGGAAAAGAAACCAACAGGGAUUACCUCAGUAACGGCGAGUGAAGCGGUAACAGCUCAAAUUUGAAAGCUAGCUCUUCGAGGGCUCGCGUUGUAAUUUGUAGAAGAUGCUUCGAGGGAGAGCCUGGUCUAAGUUCCUUGGAACAGGACGUCAUAGAGGGUGAGAAUCCCGUAUGGGACCAGGCGGCCUCCCUCGUGUGAAGCUCUUUCGACGAGUCGAGUUGUUUGGGAAUGCAGCUCUAAAUGGGUGGUAUAUUUCAUCUAAAGCUAAAUAUUGGCCAGAGACCGAUAGCGCACAAGUAGAGUGAUCGAAAGAUGAAAAGCACUUUGGAAAGAGAGUUAAACAGUAC
rnacentral:rRNA from 1 species